CCUACGGGUGGCAGCAGUGGGGAAUAUUGGGCAAUGGACGCAAGCCUGACCCAGCAACGCCGCGUGAAGGAAGACGGCUCUCUGGUUGUUAACCUCUUUUCUCAGGGACGAAACAAGUGACGGUACCUGUGGGAUAAGCCACCGCUAACUACAUGCCAGCAGCCGCGGUAAUACGUAGGUGGCAAGCGUUAUCCGGAUUGACUGGUUGUAAAGGUUGUGUAGGCGGGACUGUAAGUCAGAUGUGAAAACUACGGGCUUAACCUGUGGCCUGCAUCUGAAACUGUAGUUCUUGAGUACUGGUGAGGCAGACGGAAUGUCUAGUGUAGCGGUGAAAUGCGUAGAUAUUAUGAAGAACACCGGUGGCGAAGGCGGCCUGCCGGACAACAACUGACGCUGAGGCGCGAAAGCGUGGGGAGCAAACAGGAUUAGAUACCCCAGUAGUC
rnacentral:rRNA from 1 species